UGUCCUUAAUUUCUACUAAUUAAUUGUAUUCAUUAUCAGGACUACCCUAUAGUGCGAGAACAGUUUCAAUUACAGGAGUUAAAUUGACAUAACAAAACAUAAAAGGCUCUGACUAAUGACCUGUUAACAGCACCUGUCUGCUGGAAGACUCCAGAAGCUUGGAAGUUGAAGGAUACAUCACCAUACAUGAGCAUUAGCUAUUGAGCAUUCCUCUAGUGCUUUAUUAAAAGACUGACUUACACAUCACUAAUCACACCGACAAACGUCACAGAACGGGGAACUACAAACCUGGUCGCCAUGGACUCAUACUUCCAUUAUCUUUGGUCUCCCUUGUGCCACUCUUAGCCACUGAGGCAAGGAUUUCACAAGACCUCUGAAGGUGUGCUGUGGUAUCUGACACAAAGAUAUUAGCAGCUUUGGUAAGUCCUAAACCAACAAUUUGGCAAUGUGGGAGGGAGCAUUAUCCUGCUGAAAGAGGCCACUGCCAUUAGGGAAUAUCUUUGCCAUGAAGUGGUUUACUUCGUCUGCAAUAAUAUUUAGUGCCUUCUAGUGCCAUCUCAUCCCUAGCACUGUGUGCUACAUUAUCUCUUCUAUAAAACUGGUUCAGACAGGCUAAUCUUCGCUGACCACACCUUGCUCUUCCUUGGACCAUUUUGCUAAGCAUGCGAGUGAGAGGAGCAGAGUGGCAACCCAAUUACCACAGGCAUUGGCGUGGCAAUUUACAGCAAGUCACUUAUGAAAUUGUUAUGAAGCGAUGAAGGAGUUGGCCAUCUGUGGUACAUGGAGUAGGGAGAUCAAACAGCCGGGCACUUUGCAGCUCCAGUUACACAAUUAGAGCAAAGGGGAUGAGGAAGAAAAGGAAAAGCAGUCAUUCAGCCUGGCUCUAAAAAAAAACCCCAAAUGAAUAGAUGUCACAUCAAAUACUCUUUACUAGGCUGUGUCUUUGUCUUCUAUCCCGCUGAGGAAUGGAGGCUUGGGCUGAAAUCCUUUGCCAGUGAGAUAUAAGAGUUCAGGUUCCACCUAGUCACCAGUCUGUGAUUAGACAGAGCUAAUGUGGAGUCCAGUCAGUGCUUCCAAAUCAGACCUGCAUCCAAGCACAGUUCUAAACUAUUCUAUAAAAAAGCUCAAAUUCAACACAACAGGAAGUUACACAAUAGAAGCAAGUAUGAAUAAAUUAUAGAAGAACACAUUUGAAGGCAGGAGUUCUAUAGCAGGCAUGACACAUGCUGUCAGCUUUUUGUUGCUUUGACACUAUUGGCAAUGUAGGCUCAGCUUUAAAAGUAAAUUAGCAGAGAUAAAAAUAAAAAGAAGAAGCGAAACACACUGAGCUAAAAUACUACAGCAUACCACUCAGGGCACCAGGAAACUUCUGGACCAUUCAUUUCCAAACUUCUGAUCAAUGGCCUUUCCUUGAGGAAUCACACAAUCGAUUCAGUCAAUGCUCUGAAUGUUAUUACAUUUCUCUUUAAGGAAAAAAGCAGCGCCCUGAAACUAACGGAGAGCACACAAGUAUUUUCAUCACUGCACAGCUAACAUGCCUUGCAAUUGGUGAGAGGAAGUGAAGCUGAAGAGAAUCACUCCAGGCUUCAGCCAAAACAACACCAGCUGAUCUGGAAAAGCAUCAUUUAACAUAGCAUCACAUUUCAGUUCUAAACAACCAACAUGCAAUAUUUUCAAAUUGCAUUCUGAGAACAUAACUAACAGAUUUAACAAUGAUUUAAUAAAUAAAAGUGA